UACAGAGGGGGCAAGCGUUAUUCGGAAUUAUUGGGCGUAAAGGGCGCGUAGGCGGCUUUGCAAGUGGCGGGUGAAAUCCCUCGGCUUAACCGAGGAACUGCCUGUCAAACUGCAUGGCUUGAGACCAGGAGAGGUGAGUGGAAUUCCCAGUGUAGCGGUGAAAUUCGUAGAUAUUCGCAAGAACACCAGUGGCGAAGGCGGCUCACUGGCCCGGUACUGACGCUGAGGUGCGAAAGCGUGGGGAGCAACAGG
rnacentral:rRNA from 1 species